rnacentral:lncRNA from 1 species
GGAUGAGUGAGAGCAGCGUUUAAGCUGUACAUUAAUAAUGUAUGUCCUUCGGAUGGCAGGGAAGGGGCUGGCAGAACAAAUGGAAGCACCCUGGGAGAUGAAACUGUCCGCGGCCAGAAUUGUUCUAUCUGGCUCUCACAUGCCGGGAGCAUUCAUCAUGACCUGCAGCAUCCACUCCUCCCUGGUGGUCCCCUCUGGAGCUGCCCUGACAAAUGAAGCCAGAAACUCCUAUGUUAGUGCUGAAGGUUGUCACAGGCAGAGUCACUUUUCUGGACCUUACCACUCUAAGAUUUGGCCAGAUUCUUCGAAUCUCACAGCCCUGCGCUUGCUGAGCCGUCCCCAGGAAGAAGUGGCUCAAAAUGUCACAGGACCAGGCAUGAACCCACCACACUGCUCCUGUGUGGGGUUUGGUGGCUCUCUUCAGCUCCAGCUAUUGACAUCGAGGAGUCUGAAAAAAGCAUGGAAACCACUAAAAUGAAGCCUUCUUCCUCCAGCCAUGGCCAUGGAUCUGAUACUGGCUCCUGUCUCUCCCCUAAUGCUGGAUGGCCCUUGGGCUUCCCCCAGGAUAGAAGAGGAAAGCAUCACUCUGUGC